rnacentral:rRNA from 1 species
GUCUACGGCCAUGCCACCCUGAACAAGCCCUAUUCCAUCCAAUCUCAGAAGCUAAGCAGGGUCGGGCCCUGUUAGUACUUGGAUGGGAGACCACCUAGGAAAAGCAGGUGCUGUAGGCA